UACGUAGGGUGCAAGCGUUGUCCGGAUUUAUUGGGCGUAAAGAGCGUGUAGGCGGCCAGGUAGGUCCGUUGUGAAAACUCGAGGCUCAACCUCGAGACGCCGAUGGAAACCAUCUGGCUAGAGUCCGGAAGAGGAGAGUGGAAUUCCUGGUGUAGCGGUGAAAUGCGCAGAUAUCAGGAGGAACACCGAUGGCGAAGGCAGGUCUCUGGGCUGACACUGACGCUCAUGCACGAAAGCGUGGGGAGCAAACAGG
rnacentral:rRNA from 1 species